CCUCAAGGCCCUGUCUCCCAACCCUCGUACCAGUGCUGCCCCUCAGACGCUGGUACAGGCCUGGGGGGCAGGGACCUGGGG
rnacentral:pre_miRNA from 1 species